rnacentral:lncRNA from 1 species
GGGAAUGCUGGAUUGCUGUUAGAGAAGGUUGAAGAGCUCGAGAAGAUUAUUAAAAGGGGAAAUUCAGCUGUGGCAGCUGUGAAGGCUAUCACCAUAACUUCAGUUGGUGAUGGAAAGCCUUCUACUGGCAGUGAACAUGUAAAGUGAUCCUCUGUAUGUGGGAGCAACUUCGGUAAGUUUCGCCAGAUUCCUCGGUUGCAUGAGUGCGGAAUUAUAUCUUACUGUCUCCUUGGAGUCCUGGAAUUUGAUUUUAUACCCAAGGCUUAGGACUUCUGAUAAACUUUUCCUGUAAAAACACUUCC